GGCGAGAUGGCAGAGCGGUCUAAUGCGAUAGACUAGAAAUCUAUUCUCUUCGGAGGCGUAGGUUCGAAUCCUACUCUCGUCG
rnacentral:tRNA from 1 species